rnacentral:rRNA from 1 species
GGGACACGUGAAACCCUGUGGGAAGCAGGAGGGACCACCCUCCAAGGCUAAAUACUACCUAGUGACCGAUAGCGUAUAGUACCGUGAGGGAAAGGUGAAAAGAACCCCGGGAGGGGAGUGAAAUAGAACCUGAAACCCUGCACUUACAAGCUGUGGAAGCACAUUUCUUGUGUGACCGCGUACUUUUUGUAGAACGGGCCAACGAGUUACGUUAAGUAGCAAGGUUAAGCACUUAAGGUGCGGAGCCGUAGCGAAAGCGAGUUUUAACUGAGCGUUCAGUUACUUGACGUAGACCCGAAACCGGGCGACCUACCCAUGAGCAGGAUGAAGCGAAAGUAAAAUUUCGUGGAGGUCCGAACCCACGAGCGUUGAAAAGCUCGGGGAUGACUUGUGGGUAGCGGUGAAAUUCCAAUCGAGCCCGGAGAUAGCUGGUUCUCCCCGAAAUAGCUUUAGGGCUAGCCUCAAGGUGAGAGAUACGGAGGUAGAGCACUGAAUGUCCUAGGGGGUAUUGCACCUACCGAAGACUAUCAAACUCCGAAUGCCGUCAUCUUAUACUUGGGAGUCAGACUGUGGGUGAUAAGAUUCAUAGUCGAAAGGGCAACAGCCCAGAUCGUCAGCUAAGGUCCCUAAAUGUAAGUUAAGUGGUAAAGGAUGUGGGAUUGCACAGACAACCAGGAUGUUGGCUUAGAAGCAGCCACUCAUUCAAAGAGUGCGUAAUAGCUCACUGGUCGAGUGAUCCUGCGCCGAAGAUUUCCGGGGCUAAAACUUACUACCGAAGCUACGGCAUCAGUAAUGAUGGGUAGGGGAGCUUCCCAUACGGGUUGAAGCAUGACCGUAAGGACAUGUGGACAGUAUGGGAGUGAGAAUGUUGGCAUGAGUAGCGAGAUGUGGGUGAGAAUCCCACAGGCCGUAAACCCAAGGUUUCCAGGGGAAGGUUCGUCCGCCCUGGGUUAGUCGGGACCUAAGCUGAGGCCGAAAGGCGUAGGUGAUGGACAACAGGUUGAUAUUCCUGUACUACCGAUAACCGUUUGAGAGAAGGGAUGACACAGUAGGAUAAGCUAAGCACACUGUUGGUUAUGUGUGCCCAAGCAUUGAGGCAGUCAAAGUAGGCAAAUCCGCUUUGAUAAUGCUGGGAUGUGAUGGGGAGCGAAAUUUAGUAGCGAAGUAGCUGAUUUCACACUGUCAAGAAAAGUCUCUAUCGAGGUUAAAGGUACCCGUACCGCAAACCGACACAGGUGGGUGAGGAGAGUAUCCUAAGGCCAGCGAGAGAACUGUUGUUAAGGAACUCGGCAAAAUGACCCCGUAACUUAGGGAUAAGGGGUGCCACCAUCAGGUGGCCGCAGAGAAUAGGCCCAAGCGACUGUUUACCAAAAACAUAGGUUUCUGCUAAGUCGCAAGACGAUGUAUAGGAGCUGACGCCUGCCCGGUGCUGGAAGGUUAAGGGGAUCUGUUAGAGCAAUCGAAGCAGUGAACUUAAGCCCCAGUAAACGGCGGCCGUAACUAUAACGGUCCUAAGGUAGCGAAAUUCCUUGUCGGGUAAGUUCCGACCCGCACGAAAGGCGUAACGAUUUGGGCACUGUCUCAACAACAGACUCGGUGAAAUUGUAAUUCCGGUGAAGAUGCCGGAUACCUGCGACAGGACGGAAAGACCCCAUGGAGCUUUACUGUAGCUUGACAUUGGGUCUUGGUACUACAUGUACAGGAUAGGUGGGAGGCUUUGAAACCAGGACGCCAGUUUUGGCGGAGCCAUCCUUGGGAUACCACCCUUGUAGUACUGGGACUCUAACCAUAGGCCAUGAAUCUGGUCUUGGGACACUGUCAGGUGGGCAGUUUGACUGGGGCGGUCGCCUCCCAAAAGGUAACGGAGGCGCUCAAAGGUUCUCUCAGUACGGUCGGAAAUCGUACGUAGAGUGUAAAGGCAAAAGAGAGCUUGAUUGCAAGACAUACAGGUCGAGCAAGGAUGAAAAUCGGACUUAGUGAUCCGGUGGUUCUGCGUGGAAGGGCCAUCGCUCAACGGAUAAAAGCUACCCUGGGGAUAACAGGCUUAUCUCCCCCAAGAGUCCACAUCGACGGGGAGGUUUGGCACCUCGAUGUCGGCUCAUCACAUCCUGGGGCUGUAGUAGGUCCCAAGGGUUGGGCUGUUCGCCCAUUAAAGUGGUACGCGAGCUGGGUUCAGAACGUCGUGAGACAGUUCGGUCCCUAUCCGUCGCAGGCGUAGGAAAUUUGAGAAGACCUGUCCUUAGUAC